rnacentral:rRNA from 1 species
CCCUCUGGGGUGCACCAGGAUCAUCGCCCUCACUGCUCAUGCUUUAAAUGGAGAUGGGGAGAGAUGUCUGAAAGCAGGCCUGGACGGCUAUCUCAGCAAGCCUGUAAAGAUAGAGGAUCUGCAGUCAGCGCUGCGGCCCACAGGGCAUUGAAACAAGUCUUUCCCCAAUCAGGCUUGCCUAUGAUCCGCCUGGUUUUUCAUCUUUUGGGCAUGAUCCCUGCCUGAGGAUCAUGUUUUUUUUUCGCUUUUCGCUGAAUUAAGUGGGUGGGCCCAGCAGAGAUUAUAGCCUCUGUUUCUCUGUGUCUCUGCGGUUGGGUCAGAGCAUAGCGUUUCACCACGAAGGCGAAAAGAUACAGAGAAUUUCCAAUUCAAGUUCACCCAUGCCAAUUGGCGGGGGGGC